rnacentral:rRNA from 1 species
CCUACGGGAGGCAGCAGUGGGGGAUAUUGGACAAUGGGGGAAACCCUGAUCCAGCGACGCCGCGUGAGUGAAGAAGUAUUUCGGUAUGUAAAGCUCUAUCAGCAGGGAAGAAAUAAAUGACUGUACCUGCGUCCGCCGCCCCGGCUCCCUCCGUGCCCGCAGCCGCGGUCCUCCGUAGGGGGCCCGCGUUCUCCGGAAUUACUGGGUGUAAAGGGCGCUUCUCCUUUCCUGCCCGUCUUGAGUGAAAGGCGGGGGCCCCCCCCCCGGACUGCUCUGGAAACUGUGUAACUGGAGUGCAGGAGAGGCAGGCGGAAUUCCUAGUGUAGCGGUGAAAUGCGUAGAUAUUAGGAGGAACACCAGGGGCGAAGGCGGCCUGCUGGACUGUAACUGACGUGGAGGCGCGAAAGCGUGGGGAGCAAACAGGAUUAGAUACCCGGGUAGUC